UACGUAGGGUGCAAGCGUUAAUCGGAAUUACUGGGCGUAAAGCGUGCGCAGGCGGUUUUGUAAGUUUGUCGUGAAAGCCCCGGGCUCAACCUGGGAAUGGCCAUGGAAACUGGCGAACUGGAGUGUGGCAGAGGGGGGUGGAAUUCCGCGUGUAGCAGUGAAAUGCGUAGAGAUCCGGAGGAACACCAGUGGCGAAGGCGACACGCUGGGCCGUACCUGACACUGAUGCGCGACAGCAUGGGGAGCAAACAGG
rnacentral:rRNA from 1 species